rnacentral:rRNA from 1 species
UACGAGGGGGGCGAGCGUUGUUCGGAAUUAUUGGGCGUAAAGGGUGCGUAGGCGGUUUGGUAAGUCUCUUGUGAAAUCUAUGGGCUCAACUCAUAGUCUGCAAGGGAAACUGCCGGGCUUGAGUGUGGGAGAGGUGAGUGGAAUUUCCGGUGUAGCGGUGAAAUGCGCAGAUAUCGGGAGGAACACCUAUUGCGAAGGCAGCUCGCUGGGACGUUACUGACGCUGAGACGCGAAAGCGUGGGGAGCAAACAGG